GACGUAGGGCGCGAGCGUUGUCCGGAUUUAUUGGGCGUAAAGAGCUCGUAGGCGGCUUGUCGCGUCGUCCGUGAAAACCUGCGGCUCAACUGCAGGCUUGCGGUCGAUACGGGCAGGCUGGAGUUCGGUAGGGGAGACUGGAAUUCCUGGUGUAGCGGUGAAAUGCGCAGAUAUCAGGAGGAACACCGGUGGCGAAGGCGGGUCUCUGGGCCGAUACUGACGCUGAUGCGCGAAAGCUAGGGGAGCGAACGGG
rnacentral:rRNA from 1 species